rnacentral:rRNA from 1 species
UUAGAGUUUGAUCCUGGCUCAGGACGAACGCUGGCGGCGUGCUUAACACAUGCAAGUCGAACGAGAAGAGAUGAGAAGCUUGCUUCUUAUUGAUUCGAGUGGCAAACGGGUGAGUAACGCGUAAGCAACCUGCCCUCUAGAUGGGGACAACAGCUGGAAACGGCUGCUAAUACCGAAUACGUUCUUUCUGUCGCAUGGCAGAGGGAAGAAAGGGAGGCUCUUCGGAGCUUUCGCUGGAGGAGGGGCUUGCGUCUGAUUAGCUAGUUGGAGGGGUAACGGCCCACCAAGGCGACGAUCAGUAGCCGGUCUGAGAGGAUGAACGGCCACAUUGGGACUGAGACACGGCCCAGACUCCUACGGGAGGCAGCAGUGGGGAAUCUUCCGCAAUGGACGAAAGUCUGACGGAGCAACGCCGCGUGAACGAUGACGGCCUUCGGGUUGUAAAGUUCUGUUAUACGGGACGAAUGGUACGACGGUCAAUACCCGUCGUAAGUGACGGUACCGUAAGAGAAAGCCACGGCUAACUACGUGCCAGCAGCCGCGGUAAUACGUAGGUGGCAAGCGUUGUCCGGAUUUAUUGGGCGUAAAGCGAGCGCAGGCAGAAAGAUAAGUCUGAAGUGAAAGCCCCCGGCUUAACCGGGGAACUGCUUCGGAACUGUCCUUCUUGAGUGCAGAGAGGAGAGUGGAACUCCAUGUGUAGCGGUGGAUGCGUAGAUAUAUGGAAGAACACCGGUGGCGAGCGCUGGCAGCCCGAGACUGACGUCAGUCCGAAGCGUGGUAGCAAUUAGCUAGAUACCCUAGUAGUCACGCCGUAAACGUGAGGACCGAUGGCGGGUCAGAAGCCCGCUGUCCAAGCAAACGCGUUAAGUCCUCCGCCUGGGUACUACGUUCGCAAGAAUAAAACUUAAAGGAAUUGACGGGAACCGCACAAGCGGUGGAGCAUGUGGUUUAAUUCGAAGCAACGCGAAGAACCUUACCAGACCUUGACAUCCUCCUGAAUGCGUCGUAAUGGAUGCAGUCCUUCGGGACAGGAGAGACAGGUGGUGCAUGGUUGUCGUCAGCUCGUGUCGUGAGAUGUUGGGUCAAGUCCCGCAACGAGCGCAACCCUUGUCUGCAGUAGCCAGCGCGCUAUGGCGGGAACUCUGCAGAGACUGCCGGGGAUAACCCGGAGGAAGGUGGGGAUGACGUCAAAUCAUCAUGCCCCUUACGGUCUGGGCGACACACGUGCUACAAUGGCGUAACAAAGGGAAGCGAAGCCGCGAGACGAAGCAAAUCCCAAAAAUAACGUCCCAGUUCGGACUGCAGUCUGCAACCCGACUGCACGAAGCCGGAAUCGCUAGUAAUCGCAGAUCAGCAUGCUGCGGUGAAUACGUUCCCGGGUCUUGUACACACCGCCCGUCACACCAUGGGAGUUGGAAAUGCCCGAAGUCAACAGCCCAACCCGCAAGGGAGGGAGUUGCCGAAGGCAGGUCUGAUGACUGGGGUGAAGUCGUAACAAGGUAACCGUA